rnacentral:rRNA from 1 species
CCUACGGGUGGCUGCAGUGAGGAAUAUUGGUCAAUGGCCGUAAGGCUGAACCAGCCAAGUCGCGUGAAGGAAGAAGGAUCUAUGGUUUGUAAACUUCUUUUAUAGGGGAAUAAAGGUAUCCACGUGUGGAUAUUUGCAUGUACCCUAUGAAUAAGCAUCGGCUAACUCCGUGCCAGCAGCCGCGGUAAUACGGAGGAUGCGAGCGUUAUCCGGAUUUAUUGGGUUUAACGGGUGCGUAGGUGGUUGUUUAAGUCAGCGGUGAAAGUUUGUGGCUCAACCAUAAAAUUGCCGUGGAAACUGGAAGACUGGAGUGUGUUUGAGGUAGGCGGAAUGCGUGGUGUAGCGGUGAAAUGCGUAGAUAUCACGAAGAACUCCGAUGGCGAAGGCAGCUUACUAAGCCAUAACUGACACUGAGGCACGAAAGCGUGGGGAGCAAACAGGAUUAGAUACCCGGGUAGUC